UACGUAGGGGGCAAGCGUUAUCCGGAUUUACUGGGUGUAAAGGGAGCGUAGACGGUGAUGCAAGUCAGAAGUGAAAGCCCGGGGCUCAACUCCGGGACUGCUUUUGAAACUGUGUGACUGGAGUGCAGGAGAGGUAUGCGGAAUGCGUGGUGUAGCGGUGAAAUGCAUAGAUAUCACGCAGAACCCCGAUUGCGAAGGCAGCAUACCGGUGCACAACUGACGCUCAGGCACGAAAGCGUGGGUAUCGAACAGG
rnacentral:rRNA from 1 species